GACGAACGCUGGCGGCGUGCCUAAUACAUGCAAGUCGAGCGGACGACGGAGGAGCUCGCCCCUUCUGAUUCAGCGGCGGACGGGUGCGUAACACGUGGGCAUCCUGUCCUGUAGAUUGGGAUCAUUACGGGAAACCGGGGCUAAUACCGAAUAAUCUUUCGGACCUCAUGUCCCGAUGUGAAAUGCCGGUUUCGCCUGUACCUACAGGAGGGGGCCGUGGCGGAUAAGCUAGUUGGUGAGGUAACGGCUCACCAAGGCCACGAUGCGUACGCGACCUGGGAGGGUGAUCGGCCAAACUGGAACUGAGACACGGCCCAGACUCCUACGGGAGGAAGCAGUAGGGAAUCUUCAACAAUGGACGAAAGUCUGAUGGAGCAACGCCGCGUGAGUGAAGAAGGUUCUCGGAUCGUAAAACUCUGUUGUGAGGGAAGAACAAGUACCGGAGUAACUGCCGGUGCCUUGACGGUACCUCAUUAGAAAGCCACGGCUAACUACGUGCCAGCAGCCGCCGUAACAC
rnacentral:rRNA from 1 species